rnacentral:rRNA from 1 species
AUUGAACGCUGGCGGCAUGCCUUACACAUGCAAGUCGAACGGCAGCACGGGUGCUUGCACCUGGUGGCGAGUGGCGCACGGGUGAGUAAUACAUCGGAACAUGUCCUGUAGUGGGGGAUAGCCCGGCGAAAGCCGGAUUAAUACCGCAUACGAUCUACGGAUGAAAGCGGGGGACCUUCGGGCCUCGCGCUAUAGGGUUGGCCGAUGGCUGAUUAGCUAGUUGGUGGGGUAAAGGCCUACCAAGGCGACGAUCAGUAGCUGGUCUGAGAGGACGACCAGCCACACUGGGACUGAGACACGGCCCAGACUCCUACGGGAGACAGCAGUGGGGAAUUUUGGACAAUGGGCGAAAGCCUGAUCCAGCAAUGCCGCGUGUGUGAAGAAGGCCUUCGGGUUGUAAAGCACUUUUGUCCGGAAAGAAAUCCUUGGCCCUAAUACGGUCGGGGGAUGACGGUACCGGAAGAAUAAGCACCGGCUAACUACGUG